CGCACGGGUGAGUAACACGUAUCCAACCUGCCGUCUACUCUUGGACAGCCUUCUGAAAGGAAGAUUAAUACAAGGUGGCAUCAUGAGUCCACAUGUUCACAUGAUUAAAGGUAUUCCGGUAGACGAUGGGGAUGCGUUCCAUUAGAUAGUAGGCGGGGUAACGGCCCACCUAGUCUUCGAUGGAUAGGGGUUCUGAGAGGAAGGUCCCCCACAUUGGAACUGAGACACGGUCCAA
rnacentral:rRNA from 1 species